ensembl:lncRNA
CUGUUGGGAUGCAUUCUCCUUAAUUACACCGGUUUUCCCUGAUAUUCCUUAAGAACUGCUCAUACUUCCAUUGGAAGGCCAAGUUCAACCUGAAAGGUCCACUUCCUCCUACCAAACAGCAGUUGCCAUCAUUAACACUUUUUUUCUUGUUUCGUUUUGCUUUAUUGUUCAUUUCCUUUAAAGGAAAGUAGAUGAUAAAACAGUCGUGAAAGUUUCCUCUAUUUCAGAGUAUCUGAAUUCAUUUUACACAUUCGUCUCUGUGUUUUCUUAUAUUCUUAUUCACUUUAUUUUCUACCUUCGCAACUAUUUGUCUUUUAUUAAGAAGAAAAAGGAGAAAAGAAGUGAGCUGUCAUUUGGCAGUCUCUUUUCCAUUAUGUUUUCACUGCUGGGAAAUGCUGGAACAAAGGCAUUCAAUGUGUUACUGAAUGGGGAUCAGCACUCAGCCCUGCUGGAGAGGCUGCAGUCAGCCUGACUAGGAUGAAAACGUGGACUUUUCAAUGCUGGUUGGAGAUGUUUGUAUUUAUCUUUGGAAUGCCUGCCAGGUCCAUGCAGUCACGUGAUGUGUUAUUGCCAUGUCCUUAUGUGUACCAGCUUUUUCUGUGGUCAAAUGGAAGAAACGGAAUGUGACCUGUUAACCCUUAGUCAUCAUGAAGUGGUCCAACAGAUACUUCUCAAACACGAAGAGUCCAUGCUCAUGUCAAGACUAUCAAAAGAAAAAUAUUUUUCUCUGCUCCUAGAAAGUGACUACUGAGAGUUUUAAUGUAAGUGAUAAGUUCAUUUUUCAAUCUAGAAAAUAAAAACCUGUAAUCUCACCAGAUGAGAUGGGUUCAUCUGCAUGGAGUUCUUUAGGCCUUCCUAUUAUUUCAUAUUUAAAACUAAGUUUUGAGAAUUUUGGUUGUCGCUUUAAUUCAACAAUUAGAAAGAAAUAAAGAGAGCAAGUAUCACUUGUGUGUAUGUGUCUAAAAGGAAUUUAGGUACACCCACG